rnacentral:lncRNA from 1 species
AAACCCAGGGAGGGAAACCUGGCCUUCCUGGAAAGACGGGGCCACUGGAUGACAGACGCUGCCACAUCUUCCUAGGGGAUGCUCAGCCCACCUUCCACUCCCACAGCCCAGCUCUGGACACUGGCGAGGAAGCAAGCGGCUGUGGGAGGUGCCUUGGGCAGGGGAAGGCUGCCUUGUGGGGACAGCCACUGGGCUUGGAGGUCACACAGAUCA